rnacentral:sRNA from 1 species
UCCAGGCACAGUGGUGUAUGCCUGUAAUCCCAGUGGCUCUGGAGGCUGAUGCAGGAGGAUUGCAAGCCUCAGCAAAAGUGAGGUGCUGAGCAACUCAGUGAGAUCCUGUCUCUA